UUCAUGACUGCAAGCCUUUGUGAAAGUUUCUGACCUCUUUAUGCUUCAGGAAUCUUAGCAAUGAAACAAGGAUAAUGGCACUUGCUGUGACGAUCAUGAUGCACUUUUCUGAGAGUUUGUGCGGAUUGAGUGAAUCUGCUUCAUUUCAGCCCGAAGUUGCUGGAGGGUCCUUCGUCAGGAGACAGUAUAUAUAGACUUGCCAGAAGUGCAAUAAUUAUUCAGUCUCUUUCUCAGUAUUAAGCCAAUGUACAAAAUAAUUACACAUCUGCUUCUAUAGUAUGCACAGAUGUUGCUGUUGUUGUCAUUGAUUUGUUCAUUUGUUUUUGUUCAUCUUCCAUGAAUCUAUUCACAGCCGGGAAGCCAACUCCACUGUUGGUGGACAUUAAAACCUAAACAAAACAAAAAUUCCUUAGAAGACAGUUAAAGGACGGGUACGUUUAAGAGUAUGUCUCUUUUUCCCUCAGUCAAAUCUUUAUUUUUGUAAACUUUGUUUUAUCUUAAUUGAGAGGUAGUUGAAUUCCUCAGGUGUACCAAACAUUUCAAGGUCUAUAAAUAAGCCAGUUUUCUUCAUGCGUAAUCAACAUGUUGCCUAGAACAAGA
rnacentral:lncRNA from 1 species